GUGUCCAGUACCUUUUACUUUUCCAGUGACUAGCCAGCAGGACCAGGGCUAGUCUUGGUGCAAGACGUUUCUCGUUUACCUUUCACGCACAGCGCAGCCAUCUCACCAACAGUCCCCCCAACGACUGCCCGUAAACCUGACUUAGCCCACGAAUCGCAGUCAGGUUAGUGUAUACGGGCGGUCGUUGCGGGCACUAUUGGUGAGACGGCCGUGCUGUGCGUGAGAGGUGAGAGGUAGGAAAAUCCACGUUUACAGGCAUAGCCGUAGCUAUAGCAACCAAUUCAGAAACAGCCUAAAUCUCUAACCAUGGAGGAUGGAAAUUGUUUUCCUCCGUGCUCUAACUAUGAACAUGUAAUUCAAUAAACAUGAUUGCUCAAAUUAUCGCAAUGGAUUGGUAAAAAAAUAAUGCCAUAUAUGUAUCUGCAAAAUAUAUACAAUUAGUUGUGAAAUAUUUGGAAAGCUUGAAAAAUUACCUCAAUCACGUAACUCUUGCUGUAAAUGUGAAGAUAGUCAAAAAAACAUAUAUCCAUGACAACUAUACUACUCGGAUGUGCUUCCUGUUUGACAAGGUCCUCAAUAAGAAUUUACUGAUUUCUCUAAUUUGAAAUAAUGGCAGAUGAAAACUUGAUCUGUUUUACAUUCAUUGGGGUCAAAACUUGUUUGAACAUUGAACAAAUUGUAUCAAAUGGUUUGUUGGUCAUAGAAACAUGGUACCUAGAUUCUGCUUAGCAAGAUUUGUCUGUGCUUAGCACAUAUUGUGCUGCGUGCAUACAAAGCACAAAAUGAGUCUUGGUUACCAGCUGAAAUGGCAUAUGUUGCCUUGGAAUGGUACCCUACCACUUUUUUUCCUGCUUAGUAGCCACAGGAAAUGACUCCGCUUUAAACACUUCCUUUGGUCCGGAAAAGUUUCUUCCCGUUUCCGAUCCUGAGUAAGCAGAUAAUGGCCUGCAAAACUGUCACCAUUUCUAUAAAUGGUAGAGUUGUGCUACUGAGAAAACAAACAAUAACAUACAGUUCCUGGUCACUCCGUUGUCAAAUUUCAUUCAAAUUCCAGUGAGAUUUUCAGGAAUAUGUGGUUACCACAUCCAUCGGUGUUGAAUAUUUUUUUUUUUUUCGUCAACGGGAAAAAGUAGCUAUUCUGAAUUCCCAUGAAUUUCUCGACUCAAUUUAUUAAAAAUUCCAUGAUAGAAUGUGGAAAAAAUGUAUGAGUUAAGGGCACAUUGCCUUCCACUUUGUGGAUUUCAGUGAUUCAGCCUCGGACCUUGCAGAAAUAUUUGAAGUGCUGGGAAGUUGGAUUGUUCAGUUGAUAACUUAUAACAUAUUGUAAAUAUAUAGUGGAUUCAAAUAUAACAAUAAAGCAGUUUCGUUUUCACUUUUUGUGUAAUUAAAUACAUUAAAAAAAAACAUUAGAGCAUUGAAUAUGUACAUAAAGAUGGCCUGAGUUUACUUGUGGCGGCCAUUAAUGUCUGGCACCUUGUCUUGCAUUAAUUGUUUGCCUAAUGGAGACACUUGGUGGCUUUGUUGCUAUGGUGGUACCAUGCUUGACUAAAACCUCUUGUCUUCAUUAGUUGAGGAAUUGGAGAAGACCUUUCAUUUAAUGAAUCUUUGUGCAGUGGAGUUUUCUGUUGCUCUUUUUGCUGUUGACUGAAGUUUGUGACUCAACUUGGGUCAUUGACUCAAUAUGGACUGUUGUAUAAAUUGAGCUAUUUCUCAACUUGAGCUACUGCUCUUUUGCAGCUGUUUCUCAAUUGGGUUUUUGUUUUAACUUGGGCUGUUCUUUAGAGCUUUCUAUAGUUUCUACAUAAACUCAUGACGUUUUAGUUUUGCGUGAAAAACAAAAUAUAAAAAACUUAUUAUGUGUAAGUUUUCUUAGAUAUCUCUAUACCUCUUGAAUAUUAUAUUCACUUAUUUAUUUUCCAAUUGCCUUCCUCGUUGAAUUUGUCUUUUCAGCCUAAAGUCUUGUCUAGAUAUUUUUUCUUAUUCAAUUUCUAGAAAUCAUGAAGUUAAAGAAAAGCUUUUCCUCUGUAAAUAUUAUAUUAUUAACAAAAUAAAAAGUUUUAUGAAACUAAAAUGUAGUUUGCAUGUAGGCGGAGCCCAUUAUGACUGUAACCAAGUUUUGAGAGGUCACAGAAUGACUUGACCUAUGACCCAUGUCAGUGACUUUUGACCUAGAUUGGGAAGCGUCAGUUGGAGGCAUUGAAGCCUUAAUUUCUUUAACUUCAUUACAGUAAAUAGUAGAUAUGAAUGUUGGAACCUGUGUUUAGUGACAUGCUAUUAGGCAUGUCCGUCUUAUGUUGGUUAGAGGUAUGUGUAUAAUGUAAUGUGCACAUAUUGAGUGUUUUUUGACCUGGUAGGAACAGGUACAAACUGAGUGUUUUUUGACCUGGUAGGAACAUGAGCACAUUGAGUGUUUUGUACCUGAUAGGAACAGGUGCACACUGAGUGUUUUGUACCUGAUAGGAACAGGUACAAACUGAGUGUUUUGUACCUGAUAGGAACAGGUACAAACUGAGUGUUUUGUACCUGAUAGGAACAGGUACAAACUGAGUGUUUUGUACCUGAUAGGAACAGGUGCACACUGAGUGUUUUGUACCUGAUAGGAACAGGUGCACACUGAGUGUUUUGUACCUGAUAGGAACAGGUGCAAAUUGAGUGUUUUGUGACCUUCUAGGAACAGGUGCAAGUUGAGUGUUUUGUAUCUGGUGGGAACAGGUACAAAUUGAGUGUAGGGGACUAUACGAUGAAUUACUUUGUGGUCGUUUUGGUCUUAAGUAAAGUUGGCAAUUAAUGUUAAAAUUUUCAAAGCAUGUUUAAAACAUAUUUGUGAAAAUGUAGCCCCCAUUUAGUUAUUAUGUUUUGCAGAAAACCAAAAAUACAGAGUCGCAAUGAGAUAAUUGGGAUAGCCGAUUCCAUCUUUAACGAUUUAGUUAUUUACUUUAAUAUCAGAUUGUUGUAGAUAAUGCUGCUUCCUUGCGUUGUUGCCAGUGUUUUCUUUUCAUUUGCGACAUUGCUGUUUCAAAUAAAUUGGGUCAACAAAUACCAGCGCACAAUUCUGUCGGCUCAAGAAGUAUGUUCUGAAGGGUCCACUUCUGCUUUGGUUUUAUGCUAUUGUUUUGCCAAAGAAAAAGUAGAAAAUACGACGCAGCUUGACAUGAACUUUAAGAUGGUUUUCUUUUUCAAUACCACAUUUUGUUUCACUUCCAAGCGACUUACAUUGUGCACAGAAAAAACUGCAUGUAGUUGUAUUUAAGUGGCUACGGUGUGGCUACUGGAUCUGAUUAUAUUCAAACAUGGACGCCAUAAGUCAUAGCCAACAACACAAAAUUCCUAAACAUUGUCAUUUUUGUUGUUGUUGGUUGUUUUUGUUUUUUUCGUUUUUUUAGUUUCCUUUAUGUAAUUUAAUAAUUUUAUUAUCAAAGUGUAAAGUAAAUAUAAUGUAGGAGAAAUUGUGAAAAUAUUUUAAGUGAAAGUUUAAAAGCUUCAGUAAAAAAUCAACAUGUAUUUACUAGAGCGUGAUAUAUUAAAAUUGGAGUGACUCCAACUAUAUUACUACCAGGAAAAAUAAUAAA